CAGCAGUAGGGAAUCUUCCACAAUGGGCGAAAGCCUGAUGGAGCAACGCCGCGUGCAGGAUGAAGGCUUUCGGGUCGUAAACUGCUUUUAUGAGUGAAGAAUAUGACGGUAACUCAUGAAUAAGCACCGGCUAACUACGUGCCAGCAGCCGCGGUCAUACGUAGGGUGCAAGCAUUAUCCGGAGUGACUGGGCGUAAAGAGUUGCGUAGGUGGUUUAAUAAGCGAAUAGUGAAACCUGAGGGCUCAACCUUCAGACUAUUAUUCGAACUGUUAAACUCGAGAGUAGCAGAGGUAACUGGAAUUUCUUGUGUAGGAGUGAAAUCCGUAGAUAUAGGAAGGAACACCAAUGGCGUAGGCAGGUUACUGGGCUAUUUCUGACACUGAGGCACGAAAGCGUGGGGAGCGAACCGGAUUAGAUACCCGGGUAGUCCACGCCGUAAACGAUGGAUACUAGCCGUGUGGGGUAUCGACCCCCUGCGUGGCGAAGCUAACGCGUUAAGUAUCCCGCCUGUGGAGUA
rnacentral:rRNA from 1 species